rnacentral:rRNA from 1 species
AUUCCAGCUCCAAUAGCGUAUAUUAAUGUUGUUGCAGUUAAAAAGCUCGUAGUUGGAUUUCGGAUGGGUUUGACCGGUCCGCCUUUGGUGUGCACUGGUCGCGCCUAUCUUGCUGUCGGGGACGCGCUCCUGGCCUUAAUUGGCUGGGACGCGGAGUCGGCGAUGUUACUUUGAAAAAAUUAGAGUGUUCAAAGCAGGCCUAAGCUCUGAAUACAUUAGCAUGGAAUAACGCUAUAGGACUCUGGUCUUAUUGCGUUGGUCUUCGAGACCGGAGUAAUGAUUAAGAGGGACGGUUGGGGGCAUUCGUAUUUCAUUGUCAGAGGUGAAAUUCUUGGAUUUAUUAAAGACUAACUUAUGCGAAAGCAUUUGGCAGGGAUGUUUUCAUCG